rnacentral:rRNA from 1 species
UGUGGCAGUGAGGCUGUGGGCGCUAAGGUCCAUGGCCGAGAGGGAAAUAACCCAGACUAUCAUCUAAGGUCCCUAAAUCUAUGUUAAGUUGAUCAAACGAAGUUCGAACCCUAAGACAGCCAGGAUGUUGGCUUGGAAGCAGCCAUUCAUUUAAAGAGUGCGUAACAGCUCACUGGUCGAGGGUUCGGGCACGGAAAAUAAUCGGGCAUCAAACAUAGUACCGAAGAUAUAGACUCCGUAAGGAGUGGUAGGGGAGCAUUCCAAACAGCGUUGAAGGUGUUUCGUGAGAAAUGCUGGAGCGUUUGGGAAAGAAAAUGUAGGUAUAAGUAACGAUAAAAGCAGUGAAAAACUGCUUCGCCGAAAGACUAAGGGUUCCUGAUCAACGUUAAUCGGAUCAGGGUUAGCCGGGACCUAAGGCAAACCCGAAAGGGGUAGUCGAUGGAAAGCUGUUUAAUAUUACAGCGCGUUUUUUAGUUUCGAUGGAGUGACGGAGAAGUGAAAGAUCCGCGGGGCAACGGAAGUUCCCGUUAAAGGGUGUAGUUAUAUUCUGGGUAGGCAAAUCCGCCCGGGAUGAUGAACCUGAUAGUACUCAAAGGUUUCGGCCGGCGAGAUAGUGAUCCUAAUCAUGCUCACGAGAAAAACUUCUAAGUUAUGACUAAAAAACCCCGUACCGUAAACCGACACAGGUAGUCGAGAUGAGUAUUCUAAGGCGCUCGGGUGAGCCGUGGAGAAGGAACUAGGCAAAUUAAUGCUGUAACUUCGGGAUAAAGCAUACCACAGUAAUGUGGUCUCAGUAAAUUGGUUCAACCAACUGUUUAGCAAAAACACAGGGCCCUGCAAAUUCGAAAGAAGACGUAUAGAGCCUGAUACCUGCCCGGUGCUGGAAGGUUAAGGAAGCUUGUCAGGAGUUAAAUCUGAAGCUUGCGACUGAAGCCCCAGUAAACGGCGGCCGUAACAAUAACGGUCCUAAGGUAGCGAAAUUCCUUGUCGGGUAAGUUCCGACCUGCACGAAUGGUCUAAUGAGUUGAACACUGUCUCCUCCACGAGCCCGGUGAAAUUGUAGUAUCGGUGAAGAUGCCGGUUACCCGCCACGGGACGGAAAGACCCCGUGAACCUUCACUACAACUUUGCAUUGAUUUUGAGUAACAGAUGUGUAGCAUAGUUGGGAGACUAUGAAGCGGCUGCGCCAGCAGUCGUGGAGUCACCGUUGAAAUACCAACCUUCUGUUACUUAGAGUCUAACCCGCGAGGGGACAUUGCAUGGUGGGUAGUUUGACUGGGGUGGUCGCCUCCUAAAGUGUAACGGAGGCUCGCAAAGGUACCCUCAGUACGGUUGGUAAUCGUACGUAGAGCGCAUUAGUAAAAGGGUGCUUGACUGUGAGGCUGACCAGCCGAGCAGGUGCGAAAGCAGGCUAAAGUGAUCCGGUGGUUCUCUAU